AACGAACGCUGGCGGCAGGCCUAACACAUGCAAGUCGAGCGGACCCUUCGGGGUUAGCGGCGGACGGGUGAGUAACGCGUGGGAACGUGCCCUUUGCUUCGGAAUAGCCCUGGGAAACUGGGAGUAAUACCGGAUACGCCCUUUUGGGGAAAGAUUUAUCGGCGAAGGAUCGGCCCGCGUUGGAUUAGGUAGUUGGUGGGGUAAUGGCCUACCAAGCCGACGAUCCAUAGCUGGUUUGAGAGGAUGAUCAGCCACACUGGGACUGAGACACGGCCCAGACUCCUACGGGAGGCAGCAGUGGGGAAUCUUAGACAAUGGGGGAAACCCUGAUCGAGCCAUGCCGCGUGAGCGAUGAAGGCCUUAGGGUUGUAAAGCUCUUUCACCGGGGAAGAUAAUGACGGUACCCGGAGAAGAAGCCCCGGCUAACUCCGUG
rnacentral:rRNA from 1 species